GGACAUGAGUUUUGUGGUUAAUGCCUUUAGGGAAAAAUCUGUUUCAUAUUUUCAACUCUUUUUUAAUUAGAAUCUUUUUAUCUCUGCAGACUAUUGAGGAAGCUUUUUACAAUGGCUUCAAAGAUGCAAUCCGUUUUCUUCAAAUUAAUGGUGAGUCAAAUGGAAAAUAAAAAAAAAAGGUUGCAAAAAGUCUUUGGAAAGGAAUUUCAAUUAACUUUUUUUGCCCUGUAAAAGAUCUUGCCCCAUCUGCAAUGAGUGGCGGUCCUGAAAUGAUACUGAGCAAUGGUCAAGCCAACAUGUGGAAACACCUGGAAACUUCCAGAACAGAACUGGAGAAUGUGGAGAUGACAGCAGGGAACACCACUAUGGAAAGCUACAAUUCUACAUGGACUGACAGCUCAGCUGAGCCAGAGCUCUUCAGGGAUUCACAUUUUCACUUUAAUGUGGUAAAAAAUGUUCUUUUGGGCAAUGCUUCAACCUAUCUGACCAUGUUGAGACUACCUGCGAGAAUUUUGUCAAGUCUGCUUCUUCCUCUUGUGGUGUCUUUUUAUGCACUUCUCCAGAGUAGACAAAGGUAAUGUCCCACAUACACUUCAUACAACACUUUUUAGCAGAUCAAAUAUGAAAUCACAUUAAAUAACCUUCCCACAUUCCUGCCC
rnacentral:lncRNA from 1 species